UACGUAGGGGGCAAGCGUUGUCCGGAUUUACUGGGCGUAAAGCGCGUGUAGGCGGAAGCGUAAGUCCGGUGUGAAAGCCCCCCGCUCAACGGGGGAAGGUCGCUGGAAACUGCGCUUCUUGAGGGCGGCAGAGGGAAGUGGAAUUGCUGGUGUAGCGGUGAAAUGCGUAGAGAUCAGCAGGAACACCCGUGGCGAAGGCGGCUUCCUGGGCCGCGCCUGACGCUGAGACGCGAAAGCGUGGGGAGCGAACGGG
rnacentral:rRNA from 1 species